CUCCACCGCUUGUGUGAGCCCCCGUCAAUUCCUUUGAGUUUCAGCCUUGCGACCAUACUCCCCAGGCGGGGUACUUAACACUUUUGCUUCGGCUGUGAACCCAUGUUAAGUCCACAACCUAGUACCCAUCGUUUAGGGCUAGGACUACCGGGGUAUCUAAUCCCGUUCGCUCCCCUAGCUUUCGCGCCUCAGCGUCAGAAGAGGUCCAGCACGUCGCUUUCGCCACCGGAGUUCCUUCCGAUAUCAACGCAUUUCACCGCUCCACCGGAAGUUCCACAUGCCCCUACCUCGCUCAAGACCACCAGUAACCAAGGCACUUUUCCGGUUGAGCCGAAAGAUUUCACCCCGGACUUGAUGGCCCGCCUACGCGCCCUUUAAGCCCAGUGAUUCCGAACAACGUUCGCACGGUUCGUCUUACCGCGGCUGCUGGCACGAACUUAGCCCGUGCUUCCUCCAGGGAUAGGUCAGACCUUUCGGCUUUCCUCCCCCUCGACAGUGCUUUACA
rnacentral:rRNA from 1 species